UACUCGAGUGGCGAACGGGUGAGUAACACGUGGGUGAUCUGCCCUGCACUUCGGGAUAAGCUUGGGAAACUGGGUCUAAUACCGGAUAGGAGCCAUCUUUAGUGUGGUGGUUGGAAAGUUUUUUCGGUGUAGGAUGAGCUCGCGGCCUAUCAGCUUGUUGGUGGGGUAAUGGCCUACCAAGGCGGCGACGGGUAGCCGGCCUGAGAGGGUGUACGGCCACAUUGGGACUGAGACACGGCCCAG
rnacentral:rRNA from 1 species